UUUGGUUAAGUUAGAAAGGGCGCACGGUGGAUGCCUUGACACUAGGAGUCGAUGAAGGACGGGACUAACGCCGAUAUGCUUCGGGGAGCUGUAAGUAAGCUUUGAUCCGAAGAUUUCCGAAUGGGGAAACCCACCAUACGUAAUGGUAUGGUAUCCUUAUCUGAAUACAUAGGGUAAGGAAGACAGACCCAGGGAACUGAAACAUCUAAGUACCUGGAGGAAGAGAAAGCAAAUGCGAUUUCCUGAGUAGCGGCGAGCGAAACGGAACAUAGCCCAAACCAAGAGGCUUGCCUCUUGGGGUUGUAGGACAUUCUAUACGGAGUUACAAAGGAACGAGGUAGACGAAGCGACCUGGAAAGGUCCGUCGUAGAGGGUAACAACCCCGUAGUCGAAACUUCGUUCUCUCUUGAAUGUAUCCUGAGUACGGCGGAACACGUGAAAUUCCGUCGGAAUCUGGGAGGACCAUCUCCCAAGGCUAAAUACUCCCUAGUGAUCGAUAGUGAACCAGUACCGUGAGGGAAAGGUGAAAAGCACCCCGGAAGGGGAGUGAAAGAGAUCCUGAAACCGUGUGCCUACAAAUAGUCAGAGCCCGUUAACGGGUGAUGGCGUGCCUUUUGUAGAAUGAACCGGCGAGUUACGAUCCCGUGCGAGGUUAAGCUGAAGAGGCGGAGCCGCAGCGAAAGCGAGUCUGAAUAGGGCGUUUAGUACGUGGUCGUAGACCCGAAACCAGGUGAUCUACCCAUGUCCAGGGUGAAGUUCAGGUAACACUGAAUGGAGGCCCGAACCCACGCACGUUGAAAAGUGCGGGGAUGAGGUGUGGGUAGCGGAGAAAUUCCAAUCGAACCUGGAGAUAGCUGGUUCUCCCCGAAAUAGCUUUAGGGCUAGCCUUAAGUGUAAGAGUCUUGGAGGUAGAGCACUGAUUGGACUAGGGGUCCUCAUCGGAUUACCGAAUUCAGUCAAACUCCGAAUGCCAAUGACUUAUCCUUAGGAGUCAGACUGCGAGUGAUAAGAUCCGUAGUCAAAAGGGAAACAGCCCAGACCGCCAGCUAAGGUCCCAAAGUGUGUAUUAAGUGGAAAAGGAUGUGGAGUUGCUUAGACAACUAGGAUGUUGGCUUAGAAGCAGCCACCAUUUAAAGAGUGCGUAAUAGCUCACUAGUCGAGUGACUCUGCGCCGAAAAUGUACCGGGGCUAAAUACACCACCGAAGCUGCGGAUUGAUACCAAUGGUAUCAGUGGUAGGGGAGCGUUCUAAGGACAGUGAAGUCAGACCGUAAGGACUGGUGGAGUGCUUAGAAGUGAGAAUGCCGGUAUGAGUAGCGAAAGACGGGUGAGAAUCCCGUCCACCGAAUGCCUAAGGUUUCCUGAGGAAGGCUCGUCCGCUCAGGGUUAGUCAGGACCUAAGCCGAGGCCGACAGGCGUAGGCGAUGGACAACAGGUUGAUAUUCCUGUACCACCUCUUUAUCGUUUGAGCAAUGGAGGGACGCAGAAGGAUAGAAGAAGCGUGCGAUUGGUUGUGCACGUCCAAGCAGUUAGGCUGAUAAGUAGGCAAAUCCGCUUAUCAUAAAGGCUGAGCUGUGAUGGGGAAGCUCCUUAUGGAGCGAAGUCUUUGAUUCCCCGCUGCCAAGAAAAGCUUCUAGCGAGAUAAAAGGUGCCUGUACCGCAAACCGACACAGGUAGGCGAGGAGAGAAUCCUAAGGUGUGCGAGAGAACUCUGGUUAAGGAACUCGGCAAAAUGACCCCGUAACUUCGGGAGAAGGGGUGCUUUCUUAACGGAAAGCCGCAGUGAAUAGGCCCAAGCGACUGUUUAGCAAAAACACAGCUCUCUGCGAAGCCGUAAGGCGAAGUAUAGGGGGUGACACCUGCCCGGUGCUGGAAGGUUAAGGAGAGGGGUUAGCGUAAGCGAAGCUCUGAACUGAAGCCCCAGUAAACGGCGGCCGUAACUAUAACGGUCCUAAGGUAGCGAAAUUCCUUGUCGGGUAAGUUCCGACCCGCACGAAAGGUGUAACGAUUUGGGCACUGUCUCAACCAGAGACUCGGUGAAAUUAUAGUACCUGUGAAGAUGCAGGUUACCCGCGACAGGACGGAAAGACCCCGUGGAGCUUUACUGUAGCCUGAUAUUGAAUUUUGGUACAGUUUGUACAGGAUAGGCGGGAGCCAUUGAAACCGGAGCGCUAGCUUCGGUGGAGGCGCUGGUGGGAUACCGCCCUGACUGUAUUGAAAUUCUAACCUACGGGUCUUAUCGACCCGGGAGACAGUGUCAGGUGGGCAGUUUGACUGGGGCGGUCGCCUCCUAAAGUGUAACGGAGGCGCCCAAAGGUUCCCUCAGAAUGGUUGGAAAUCAUUCGUAGAGUGCAAAGGCAUAAGGGAGCUUGACUGCGAGACCUACAAGUCGAGCAGGGACGAAAGUCGGGCUUAGUGAUCCGGUGGUUCCGCAUGGAAGGGCCAUCGCUCAACGGAUAAAAGCUACCCCGGGGAUAACAGGCUUAUCUCCCCCAAGAGUCCACAUCGACGGGGAGGUUUGGCACCUCGAUGUCGGCUCAUCGCAUCCUGGGGCUGUAGUCGGUCCCAAGGGUUGGGCUGUUCGCCCAUUAAAGCGGUACGCGAGCUGGGUUCAGAACGUCGUGAGACAGUUCGGUCCCUAUCCGUCGUGGGCGUAGGAAAUUUGAGAGGAGCUGUCCUUAGUACGAGAGGACCGGGAUGGACGCACCGCUGGUGUACCAGUUGUUCUGCCAAGGGCAUAGCUGGGUAGCUAUGUGCGGAAGGGAUAAGUGCUGAAAGCAUCUAAGCAUGAAGCCCCCCUCAAGAUGAGAUUUCCCAUAGCGUAAGCUAGUAAGAUCCCUGAAAGAUGAUCAGGUUGAUAGGUUCGAGGUGGAAGCAUGGUGACAUGUGGAGCUGACGAAUACUAAUAGAUCGAGGACUUAACCAUAUA
rnacentral:rRNA from 1 species